rnacentral:rRNA from 1 species
AAUUUUGUACAAUGGGGGAAACCCUGAUCCAGCCAUCCCGCGUGUAUGAUGAAGGCCUNCGGGUUNUNAAGUACUUUUGGCAGAGNCGAAAAGGUAUCUCCUAAUACGGGAUACUGCUGACGGUAUCUGCAUAUUAAGAACCGGCGAACUACGUGCCAGCAGCCGCGGUAAUACGUAGGGUGCAAGCGUUAAUCGGAAUUACUGGGCGUAAAGCGUGUGUAGGCGGUUCGGAAAGAAAGUAGUGAAAUCCCAGGGGUCAACCUUGUAACUGCAUUUUUAACUGCCGGGCUAGAGUAUGUCAGAGGGGGGUAGAAUUCCACGUGUAGCAGUGAAAUGCGUAGAUAUGUGGAGGAAUACCGAUGGCGAAGGCAGCCCCCUGGGAUAAUACUGACGCUCAGACACGAAAGCGUGGGGAGCAAACAGG